AUUAGUAAUGGGCGAAAGCCUGAACUAGCAACGCCGCGUGUGCGAAGAAGGCCUUCGGGUUGUAAAGCACUUUUUGAGAGGAUGAGGAAGGACGGUACUCUCAGAAUAAGUCUCGGCUAACUACGUGCCAGCAGCCGCGGUAACACGUAGGAGGCAAACGUUAUCCGGAUUUACUGGGCGUAAAGCGCGGGCAGGCGGUGGUCCAAGUCGGACGUGAAAGCUCCCGGCUCAACUGGGAGAGGUCGUUCGAAACUGGGCCGCUAGAGGGCAGUAGAGGGGCGUGGAAUUCCGGGUGGAGUGGUGAAAUGCGUAGAGAUCCGGAGGAACACCAGAGGCGAAGGCGGCGCCCUGGGCUGCACCUGACGCUGAGCCGCGAAAGCUAGGGGAGC
rnacentral:rRNA from 1 species